rnacentral:rRNA from 1 species
GGACUACUGGGGUUUCUAAUCCUGUUUGCUCCCCAUGCUUUCGCGCCUCAGCGUCAGUAUCAGCCCAGUAAACCGUCUUCACCACCGGUGUUCUUCCACAUAUCUACGCAUUUCACCGCUACACGUGGAAUUCCGUUUACCCUAACUGAACUCUAGCUCUGCAGUUUCAAAUGCAGCUCCGGGGUUGAGCCCCGGAAUUUCACAUCUGACUUACAAAGCCGCCUACGCGCCCUUUACGCCCAGUAAUUCCGAUCAAUGCUUGCACCCUCCGUAUUACCGCGGCUGCUGGCAC